UUCAACCUGGAAAGACUCCGCACAGAGAAAGAGAGUGGUAAUAGAAAGUUUAAUUGGCAAAUGAAAGUCUUUGGCGCUCGGACUCAGGAGGAAGACAUUUCGCUGGUAUCAGCUGUCAGAGAGAAUGAACCAAAUGAAAGAUUUGGCUGUGUAGGAAGAUUACAGACGUCUUUCCCCACCUUGGGCCCGGACACUGGUGGUGGAGAGGAUGGUGAAGACUGAAUGGAUGUCGAAGAAAGCGGAGGAGGGGUGGAGAAAGGUUGAAGCUCAGCCAAAGAGCGGAAGCGGAUGAACAGCUGGACUUUAUCAAGGGAGCGACGCUUUUGGAGGAGGCCAUCACAGACAGGUUGGAAUCGAGGCGCAUGGUGAGAUGUUUGGCUGAGCGGGUCAGAAAGUGGCUGUGCAAAAGCCACACAUUCAGGAUGGCCACAGCAGUCAUGAACACACCUAUGUGUGGGGGAGUAGAGACAGUGAGAGUGGGAGUUGUACUCACGACAAGCCCAGAAUAUAAAGACUGUGUAGCUUUAGCAGUUGAAGGAUGUGAAAUUAACCACAAAUCUGCUGCCAAUGAGGAACCAAAGUCCUUCACAUUUGAUCAGGUUGUAACAGCCGACUGUGUAGAGAGUCUUCACUCUGAGCUCCUGCAGCCUCUGACCGAGUCCAUAUCGAAUGGCUAUAACGUAGCACUGCUGAUGUGUGGAACUCCCACGGAGAUGGUUGGAGCCGUGACGGACAAAAGUAUCCUCAGACAGGUCCUGACAAGUCUGUUUAGUUGCACAACAUCAGAGGAAAAAGCUGAGUCCUUCACCUCUGUAUCAUUUCUUCAGUUUUACCCAGAUGGGAACGCAGUGGAUCUCCUCAGCCUCAAUAAAGAAACUUUGCAGCUCGUAAUCCAUCCUGUACUCGGAAGUGUUGUAGAAGGUUUAUCUGAGGUGUGUGUAUGUUCAGCAGAGGAAGCCUGUGAUGUUUUUAAAGCCUGCAGGGAGUCAAUGAAAACCAACGGAGGAAGCAUUUCCAGCCGAUGCAGUUUCCUGUUCUCAGUGACAGCUGAGUGGAAACUCCAUCCGGAGCAGGCGGAGUCGGAUGUCUGCCGCAGCAAACUGCAGCUGUUCGGCCUCACAGGAGGAGCCAGUAGGACUGACCUCAGAGGAGUCAUCCCACUGUUGAAGGUCCUAGACCAGACACUAAACUCUCCUCCUGUAGUCGGCGACAGCCUCCUUCAUGAAUUGCUUAAAGAUGCACUUACAGGAACCAACAGGACAUUUCUCAUCUACUGCAUCAACCCUCAAGGUUUCCUCGAUGAUGAAACUCAAUCUGCUUUACAUUUGGCUCAGAAAGUGAGAGGAUUAGUUACUAAACCCACUUCUGUUUGCUGGAAUCCGAGGACAGUUGAGCAAGAGCUUCGUGAAAGGAUCAUGGAGCUACAAAACGUGGUACUGCUAGGGGAGAGUGAGGUACAGAGCAUUUACAAGUUAGCUCAGCUGACUCAGAAUCUGAAGAUAGUGAAACAUCAGUCGUGGGAGAAGAGGAGAGAGGAGUCAGAGAGAAUAAAAGCCAAACUUAAGAAAUCAUCAAUCAGCAGUCACCAACUUUCUGUAGAUUGUCUCAUGAAAGAGAAAGGAAGUACAGAAACAGCUAAAUAUCUGCAGGAAAAGUUGAGACAAGAAAUGGAGGAACACAUCAGAGAAGGUAAAGGCAGCGCAGAAAAGGUCCAGGAGAGGGUAACCAGAAUCCAGCAGCUGAAGGAAGCUCUGAGAGAAGAAACACUGAAGGAUGGGAAUGUUUCAGCAAAGUCCCAAUUCUGUCAACAAUCUCAGUUGGAAUACAAUGAAGCGCAGGAGCGGAGGAGGCAACUUAAGGAGGAUCACACGAGAUUAAUUCAGGAGGAGGUGGCAAAGAUGGAGAGAGACUUGGCGCAGGAGCAGCCGCCGACAGAAAGCCCUCAGAGGGAGCUGCUGGUGCUGAGCAGAGAAAGGCAGGUCCUGGUGAUGCAAAUAGAGGCGCUUCGUGCUGAGGCCCAGCAGGCAGAAGGCGACCUUCAGGAUCAGCAUCACAGACACCAAACGGAGCUGCAUUGUUUGAGGGAAGAGAGCCUACAGGCUCGUUAUCAGUAUUCCUGCUCUGCAGGUGUUCAGGGCGUUUCGUCAAGUUAGCGAGGAGCAGAGGAAGAUUUCAGAGGGAAGAUAUAGGAGUGUGUUGCUGGAAGCUGUGCAGGAUGCCAUCUACCUGUCGGCUCAGAAUCAGCAGCUGCAAGCUGAAAACAAGGAACUUCGAAAAGCACUGGGGGAGAUUAAAGACGCUCUUGCUGUGCGAGGAGAUCCUGUGACUGACCUGAUAAACCAGCAUCAAUGAGUCUCAUACAGAAAACACGUGUUGGUAAAUGGCUCAGAAACUUUAUUGGUCAUAAAACGCGAC